AUUACCACCGAGGCUCUCUCUCUGCUCGCUGGAACGGCAGCUAGAAAACUGGGAGGAGAGCUUCCUGGCAGCAUUAGCAAACUAGCAGCCCCUGAAGGGCGACGAGAAAGAUAUGUAGAUGUGAUGUCUGGAACUCAUGCAGCUAUCUUGCAACGACCAGGAUGAGGCUAAGAGAAUAGGAGAGAUCCUUGCUCAAACAGGCUGAACUCGAGUAUUUUGGGCCCUAAGAAGGAAGGACAAAGAUCCCUGGAGAACUCUCCUGUGGUGUCCUUGUUUUGAGUAGCAAUGGAGGUGUAAACUGUGAUCCUCUUCCUUGAGUGAGAUGGAAAAAAAUUAAUUUGCCGCAUCAGUGUCCAUAUCUCAG
rnacentral:lncRNA from 10 species